rnacentral:rRNA from 1 species
GAUGAACGCUGGCGGCGUGCCUAAUACAUGCAAGUCGAGCGAACAGACGAGGAGCUUGCUCCUCUGACGUUAGCGGCGGACGGGUGAGUAACACGUGGAUAACCUACCUAUAAGACUGGGAUAACUUCGGGAAACCGGAGCUAAUACCGGAUAACAUGUUGAACCGCAUGGUUCAACAGUGAAAGACGGUCUUGCUGUCACUUAUAGAUGGAUCCGCGCCGCAUUAGCUAGUUGGUAAGGUAACGGCUUACCAAGGCAACGAUGCGUAGCCGACCUGAGAGGGGGAUCGGCCACACUGGAAGUGAGACACGGUCCAGACACCGACGGGAGGCAGCGGUAGGGAAUCGUCCGCAAUGGGCGAAAGCCUGACGGAGCAACGCCGCGUGAGUGAUGAAGGUCUGCGGGUCGGAAAACGCUGUUAUGAGGGAAGAACAAAUGUGUAAGUAACUAUGCACGUCUUGACGGAACCUAAACAGAAAGCCACGGCUAACUACGG